ACUCCUACGGGAGGCAGCAGUGGGGAAUAUUGCACAAUGGGCGCAAGCCUGAUGCAGCCAUGCCGCGUGUAUGAAGAAGGCCUUGGGUUGUAAAGUACUUUCAGCAGUGAGGAAGGGUGGGGUAUGUUAAUAGCAUAUUCUAUUUGUACGUUAGCUGCAGAAGAAGCACCGGCUAACUCCGUGCCAGCAGCCGCGGUAAUACGGAGGGUGCGAGCGUUAAUCGGAAUUACUGGGCGUAAAGCGCAUGCAGGUGGUUUGUUAAGUCAGAUGUGAAAGCCCGGGGCUCAACCUCGGAAUUGCAUUUGAAACUGGCAAACUAGAGUACUGUAGAGGGGGUAGAAUUUCAGGUGUAGCGGUGAAAUGCGUAGAGAUCUGAAGGAUACCGGUGGCGAAGGCGGCCCCUGGACAGAUACUGACACUCAGAUGCGAAAGCGUGGGAGCAAACAGGAUUAGAUACCCCGUGUAGGUCAGU
rnacentral:rRNA from 1 species